rnacentral:rRNA from 1 species
AUUGAACGCUGGCGGCAUGCUUUACACAUGCAAGUCGAACGGUAACAGGCCUUCGGGUGCUGACGAGUGGCGGACGGGUGCGUAAUGCAUCGGAACGUACCCAGAGGUGGGGGAUAACGCAGCGAAAGCUGUGCUAAUACCGCAUGUGAUCUGAGGAUGAAAGCGGGGGACCGAGCAGCAAUGUUUGGCCUCGCGCCUUUGGAGCGGCCGAUGUCGGAUUAGCUAGUUGGUGGGGUAAAGGCCUACCAAGGCGACGAUCCGUAGCUGGUCUGAGAGGACGACCAGCCACACUGGGACUGAGACACGGCCCAGACUCCUACGGGAGGCAGCAGUGGGGAAUUUUGGACAAUGGGCGCAAGCCUGAUCCAGCAAUGCCGCGUGCGGGAAGAAGGCCUUCGGGUUGUAAACCGCUUUUGGCAGGAACGAAACUGUGUCCGCUAAUACCGGGCGCUAAUGACGGUACCUGCAGAAUAAGCACCGGCUAACUACGUG